rnacentral:rRNA from 1 species
UGAGGAAUAUUGGUCAAUGGUCGCAAGACUGAACCAGCCAUGCCGCGUGCAGGAAGACGGUCCUAUGGAUUGUAAACUGCUUUUAUACAGGAAGAAACCCUCCCACGUGUGGGAGCUUGACGGUACUGUAGGAAUAAGGAUCGGCUAACUCCGUGCCAGCAGCCGCGGUAAUACGGAGGAUCCAAGCGUUAUCCGGAAUCAUUGGGUUUAAAGGGUCCGUAGGCGGUCUUAUAAGUCAGUGGUGAAAGCCCAUCGCUCAACGAUGGAACUGCCAUUGAUACUGUAAGACUUGAAUGCUUAGGAAGUAACUAGAAUAUGUAGUGUAGCGGUGAAAUGCUUAGAUAUUACAUGGAAUACCAAUUGCGAAGGCAGGUUACUACUAAGUGAUUGACGCUGAUGGACGAAAGCGUGGGGAGCGAACAGGAUUAGAUACCCUGGUAGUCCACGCCGUAAAACGAUGGAUACUAGCUGUUCGGCGCAAGUUGAGUGGCUAAGCGAAAAGUGAUAAGUAUCCCACCUGGGGAGUACGCACGCAAGUGUGAAAACUCAAAUGAAUUGACGGGGUCAUAGCUGUUUCCUG